rnacentral:rRNA from 1 species
CUACCGGUCGGCGACGGUACUGCUUUGGGUACUUUCAGGACCCGUCUUGAAACACGGACCAAGGAGUCUAACAUGUGCGCGAGUCAUUGGGUGUUGUUAAAGAUAUCGAUUAAACCUAAAGGCGCAAUGAAAGUGAAGGUCGUCCUUAGCGUCGAUCGAGGGAGGAUGGCCCGGGUUCGCCCGAGUCCGCACUCCCGGGGCGUCUCACGGUCGUUACGACCAGAGGCGCACCCAGAGCGUACACGUUGGGACCCGAAAGAUGGUGAACUAUGCCUGGUCAGGACGAAGUCAGGGGAAACCCUGAUGGAGGUCCGUAGCGAUUCUGACGUGCAAAUCGAUCGUCGGAACUGGGUAUAGGGGCGAAAGACUAAUCGAACCAUCUAGUAGCUGGUUCCCUCCGAAGUUUCCCUCAGGAUAGCUGGCACUCGCUCGAUGAAAACGAGUCUCAUCUGGUAAAGCGAAUGAUUAGAGGCCUUGGGGCCGAAACGACCUCAACCUAUUCUCAAACUUUAAAUGGGUGAGAUCUCUGGCUUGCUUGAACGUUGAAGCCAUGAGAUUUUUUCUACAAAAGUGGAUCAGAGUGCCAAGUGGGCCAAUUUUGGUAAGCAGAACUGGCGCUGUGGGA